rnacentral:rRNA from 1 species
AUUGAACGCUGGCGGCAGGCCUAACACAUGCAAGUCGAGCGGAUGAAGGGAGCUUGCUCCUGGAUUCAGCGGCGGACGGGUGAGUAAUGCCUAGGAAUCUGCCUGGCAGUGGGGGAUAACGUCCGGAAACGGGCGCUAAUACCGCAUACGUCCUGAGGGAGAAAGUGGGGGAUCUUCGGACCUCACGCUAUCAGAUGAGCCUAGGCCGGAUUAGGUAGUUGGUGGGGUAAAGGCCUACCAAGGCGACGAUCCGUAACUGGCCUGAGAGGAUGAUCAGUCACAUUGGAACUGAGACACGGUCCAGACUCCUACGGGAGGCAGCAGUGGGGAAUAUUGGACAAUGGGCGAAAGCCUGAUCCAGCCAUGCCGCGUGUGUGAAGAAGGUCUUCGGAUUGUAAAGCACUUUAAGUUGGGAGGAAGGGCAGUAAGUUAAUACCUUGCUGUUUUGACGUUACCAACAGAAUAAGCACCGGCUAACUUCGUG